UGUUUCCCUACUCUAAACUCAGACCAUUGU
rnacentral:piRNA from 1 species